rfam:Myceliophthora thermophila ATCC 42464 chromosome 1, complete sequence.
GGGAGCUUGGCUCAGUUGGAAGAGCGCAGGUCUCAUAGCGAAUAGCUGAUGAUCCGGUCGUAGAUCGGGGAUAUCCUGAGGUCGUGAGUUCGAGCCUCACAGUUCCCA